rnacentral:rRNA from 1 species
AUUGAACGCUGGCGGCAGGCUUAACACAUGCAAGUCGAGCGGGGGAGGUUGCUUCGGUAACUGACCUAGCGGCGGACGGGUGAGUAAUGCUUAGGAAUCUGCCUAUUAGUGGGGGACAACAUUCCGAAAGGAAUGCUAAUACCGCAUACGCCCUACGGGGGAAAGCAGGGGAUCUUCGGACCUUGCGCUAAUAGAUGAGCCUAAGUCGGAUUAGCUAGUUGGUGGGGUAAAGGCCUACCAAGGCGACGAUCUGUAGCGGGUCUGAGAGGAUGAUCCGCCACACUGGGACUGAGACACGGCCCAGACUCCUACGGGAGGCAGCAGUGUGGAAUAUUGGACAAUGGGGGGAACCCUGAUCCAGCCAUGCCGCGUGUGUGAAGAAGGCCUUUUGGUUGUAAAGCACUUUAAGCGAGGAGGAGGCUACCGAGACUAAUACUCUUGGAUAGUGGACGUUACUCGCAGAAUAAGCACCGGCUAACUCUGUGCCAGCCGCCGCAGUAAAAC